GGCUAUUGUUGCUCUUUUGAGUGACUCCUAUUAGCACAUCCUCAACUGAGUCAUUGUCAACAUCCCACAGUGCAAGAGGAGGUGGGGUAACACCUGAAGAAGAAAACCACUGUUACAGACAGGAACGUUCCCCAUGCUGACAAGGCACCAGAAAGGCACACAG